UACGGAGGGUGCAAGCGUUAUCCGGAUUUACUGGGUUUAAAGGGCGCGUAGGCGGUUUUGUAAGUCAGAGGUGAAAUCUCCGAGCUUAACUCGGAAACUGCCUUUGAUACUAUAAGUCUUGAAUUAUCUGGAGGUAAGCGGAAUAUGUCAUGUAGCGGUGAAAUGCUUAGAUAUGACAUAGAACACCAAUUGCGAAGGCAGCUUACUGCGGAUCGAUUGACACUGAGGCGCGAAAGCGUGGGGAUCAAACAGG
rnacentral:rRNA from 1 species